rnacentral:lncRNA from 1 species
CUACUUCAUACAGAAGAGAGUCUUAAGGUUUAAGUAAAGGUUGGGGUUGAUCAGACUGCUAUAUAGGCUGCUGCCACAGGAAAAGAGCCCCAUCCCUUGGGUCCACUAGUUUCUUACUCUGUCUUAUUUAUUAUUAAACUCAUAGAGGGAUGAUUUCCAUUUCUAGAAAACCAAGAACACAUCUUACUCUUCCCUGGAGAUACCUCUCCAGUGACUGUGGGAUCUGGUAUAUAGCAGAUAGGGGAUAGGGAGGGCUAGUGUAGCAGUUAAGAACCUAUGUCCCGAAUUCAAGGUCAUCUGUGUCAUUUUGAACGCAAUCAUAAAUAUUUUUAGUUAAAUAAAGUAGAAGAGAUACAGUAUUUUGAGCAAUAUGCACGAAAGAGUUUUGGUUUCAGAGAAUGGGACAUUUACAGGAAACAGCUCAAGUUACAUAUGUUGAGCUCUUUCUAUUGCAGCCCAAACGCCUACUACCUUCUGCUUGUACCACAUGUUGCUUCAGAGACAGUGAGGUCCAGCUUAGAGACAUCAGCCAAAUCCUCUACUUUACUGGAGAGCACUGCUCCACAUCCCCUUCUUUCCUCUGGAGGAGGACAGUCUCUUCUGUAGAUACCCUUGGAUUUUGGCAAAUCUUUUCUUUGGUCAACCUAGACCCAGGAUAAGAACCCUCUCCUCCGUCCAAGAGUGGAACUGCAAAAAGUGGAGAAUGACUAUCACUGUUACCAGAUUCCAGAUGGAAAAGGAAGUAAAAUUUGUUGCGGAUAGAGGCAAAAAAAAAAAUAGAGAGAGGGAAUAAGGAAAAAGGUGCAGGCUCAUUGUUGAUCCGUCUAUCAGUUGAUAGACACUUAGGUUGUUUCUACUUUUGUUUUGUUUAAUAGGGCUGUUUCUUAUGACACUCUUCAAUGUAAACCGAAGCCUGUUGGCCAGGCGCGGUGGCUCAUGCCUGUAAUCCCAGCACUUUGGGAGGCCGAGGUGGGCGGAUUUUGGUCAUUCCAAUAGGUAUGUAGUGGUAUCUCAUUGUUGAAUCUUUUUAUUUUAUUGUCAAAAGUUAUAUGCAGUAGGAAGACUAUGAGGAAAUCCUGUCUAUCCCAAACGAGUAAACAAUAGUAUCCUAGAACCAGCAUGCAUAAGCUUACUACCUGAGGUCAGGAGUUCGAGACCAGUCUGGCCAACACGGUGAAACCCCGUCUCUACUAAAAAUACAAAAAUCAGCCAGGUGUUGUGGCAUGCACCUGCAACCCCAGCUACUCAGGAGGCUGAGGCAAGAGGAUCGCUUGAACCUGGGAGGCGGAGGUUGCAGUGAGCCGAGAUCAUGCCACUGCACUCUAGCCUGGGCGACGGAGCGAGACUCCAUCUCAAAAACAACUCCUGCCUCAGCCUCCCAAGUAGCUGGGAUUACAGGUAUUGGGGAUAUGAAGCAGUAAAGAUACAUUCUCUGCUCUCAAGGAAUUUACAGUUUGAGUGGGGAGACAGACGUAGAAACAAAUAAUUCCAGGAUGGCUUGACAUGCUCCCUCUCUCCCCAUUAUUAUAAAGUUCUGUAAAAGGCACAACGCUGACAUAAAAGCAUGAAGGAAGGGGCCUCUGAGUCCUCCUGGGGAAGUCAGGGGAAGCAUCACUUGUUCAAUUUUUCUAGAAUGUGCAGGGAGUUUGGAGGAGAGAAUGGUAUUACAUAGAAAGGGGCAGAUCCUUCAUGACCUUGUGUGUUACAGAGUUUUAGUGCACCCUGUAAGCACUGGGAAGACACAGAAUAAUUAUGAGUAGGGCAUGACUUGAUCAGUUUAGGGAUUCAGAAAGAUCACACUGACUGUUUUGUGCAGGAUAAUUUGUGAUGAGAUCCAGGGAGAGUAUUAUGAAAGCUGCUGCUCUAGUUGGAGCAGAGAUCUGAAUCAUCACCCAGAAACACUUGGCCCCUAUAAGAUGGAAUGUUCUGGGUAGCCAGAAAAAGCCAGAUAACAAAACUACUACCCCAAAUUAGAAGUGGAUUAGGGAAAGCACAUAUACUAAGCUAUAGCCAGCUCUCCUACAUCUAGAGCCUGUGGGCGCUUUGGCCUCAUGCAUCAGGAGGGCAGAAGACCAUGUCCAAACACUCCAUAUCCAGGGAGAGGGAGAGCACCUGAUAUUUUAGCAGUGUGGUCAUCCAUGUCACCAUGUGGAGAAUGACAUGGGGAAAUGGAGGAGGUGUCUG